AUUGAACGCUGGCGGCAGGCCUAACACAUGCAAGUCGAGCGGAUGAAGGGAGCUUGCUCCUGGAUUCAGCGGCGGACGGGUGAGUAAUGCCUAGGAAUCUGCCUGGUAGUGGGGGAUAACGUCCGGAAACGGGCGCUAAUACCGCAUACGUCCUGAGGGAGAAAGUGGGGGAUCUUCGGACCUCACGCUAUCAGAUGAGCCUAGGUCGGAUUAGCUAGUUGGUGGGGUAAAGGCCUACCAAGGCGACGAUCCGUAACUGGUCUGAGAGGAUGAUCAGUCACAGUGGAACUGAGACACGGUCCAGACUCCUACGGGAGGCAGCAGUGGGGAAUAUUGGACAAUGGGCGAAAGCCUGAUCCAGCCAUGCCGGGUGGGGGAAGAAGGUCUUCGGAUUGUAAAGCACUUUAAGUUGGGGGGAAGGGCAGUAAGUUAAACCCUUGCUGUUUUGACGUUACCAACAGAAUAAGCACCGGCUAACUUCGU
rnacentral:rRNA from 1 species